UUUGGUCUUGUUGAACCUCAUCCCAUUGGCUUCAGCCCAGCUAUCCAGCCUAUCCAGAACCACAACAGCCAGUUCCUCCAGGGCCCUGGGAUGUUUGUCAUUGGGUUCCAAGGACUUGUAUACAUUCAGCCUCAUGAGGUGGUCUCAGACUUGCACCUCUCUUACAGUGGGAUGGAUCUGGCUUCCCUGUUACUUGUAUAGAAUUUCAUGGACAUGAGUGGCAUGUGAAAACCAAGGCAAAGAACUCUUUAAG
rnacentral:lncRNA from 1 species